rnacentral:rRNA from 1 species
AUAGCCUACGGGGGGCAGCAGUGGGGGAUAUUGCACAAUGGGGGAAACCCUGAUCAAGCGACGCCGCGUGAGUGAAGAAGUAUUUCGGUACGUAAAGCUCUAUCAGCAGGGAAGAAUAAUGACGGUACCUGACUAAGAAGCCCCGGCUAACUACGUGCCAGCAGCCGCGGUAAUACGUAGGGAGCGAGCGUUGUACGGAUUUACUGGGUGUAAAGGGUGCGCAGGCGGCUCUGCAAGUCAGGCGUGAAAGCUAGGGGCUCAACCCCUAAACUGCGCUUGAAACUGUGGAGCUUGAGUGAAGUAGA